rnacentral:ncRNA from 2 species
UGAUAGUCUGCCGGGGCCAGUCGUACCACGUACGUGGUCAGGGAAUCCGGUGCGAAUCCGGAACUGACGCGCAGCGGUGAGGGGGACGGGCGGGGUACUCACGCCACUGGGGCGGAGGCCGCGGCGACCACGGAGUCGAGGCGGCACCGACCUGGGAAGGCACCCCGUCCGGGCGAACCCGAGUCCGAAGACCUGCUGGCCCCUCCGCGUCGAG